GCGUGUGCAGGCUGUGGG
rnacentral:miRNA from 1 species